rnacentral:misc_RNA from 1 species
UACAGAGGGUGCGAGCGUUACUCGGAAUUACUGGGCGUAAAGCGCGCGUAGGUGGCUUGAUAAGCCGGUUGUGAAAGCCCCGGGCUCAACCUGGGAACGGCAUCCGGAACUGUCAAGCUAGAGUGCAGGAGAGGAAGGUAGAAUUCCCGGUGUAGCGGUGAAAUGCGUAGAGAUCGGGAGGAAUACCAGUGGCGAAGGCGGCCUUCUGGACUGACACUGACACUGAGGUGCGAAGGCAUGGGGAGCGAACGGG